GGAAGUAAAAGUCGUAACAAGUAUCCGUAGUGACCUCGGAUGGAUCAUUUGAGACAUAGUCAUCGGUCAUCGGUCGUUGUCAUCCUCCUUCCCUCGGAAGGUGGUGCACGCUCCGACACCCGAUAGCGAACGGUCCAAAGUCCUUCCCGGACCUCGAGUUAACUCUCGAAUCGUACCGGGGAGACACCUAACCGUAGCCCCUCGGCGAAACAUCGGAUCGAGGAGGGAUCCUCGCGGAUCCUUCCGAGAAACGAGAAUAACCUAGUCGACUACUUUCGACGACGGAUACCUCGGUUCCCACGCCGAUGAAGAGCGCGGCGAAACGCGAUAUGUCGUGCGAAUCGCAGAAUUCGGCGAAUCACGCAAUCCUCGAACGCAUCCGGCGCUCUCGGGUCUUCCCGGGAGCAUGCCCGUCUGAGCGUCGUUCCCAAAAAUCCUCGAACUCGACAUUCGAAAGAAAGCCGAGCGAAGGGCGAUCGGGAGUCUGCCGAAACGCAGUCUCCCUGGGAACGAGGCGCACCACUCGAAGCCCCCCGUCAGAGACGAGGGAUAGGGUGCCAAAGCUUCCGUCGAGAGCGCCUCACGGUGCAACUCACAUCGGGAGUGUAUGCCCCAAUCCAUUCCAAACUCAACCCGACGGAGACCAGCUGGAGUCGGGACAGACGCCGUCCGCGGUCCUGAGAGCCCUGGGUCGGAGGAGUAAAAUCCUCCCCUAUCUCAAACCACGACCUCAGAUCGGGCAAGAUUACCCGCUGAACUUAAGCAUAUCAAUAAGCGGAGGA
rnacentral:rRNA from 1 species